GGUGGGGUGGCUCAAUGGCAGAGCGCCGAGGUUACAAACAAAGUUGAGAGAUUCGGAGGUUGGAGGUUCAAGUCCUCUCCCCACCA
rnacentral:tRNA from 1 species